CGAUCCCGGUAAGGUCCA
rnacentral:misc_RNA from 1 species